rfam:Crassostrea gigas strain 05x7-T-G4-1.051#20 contig13824, whole genome shotgun sequence.
UAAACGGCCCUUUUAAGGGCCUUUCACAUUUUUCGAAAAGCUACCU